GAUGAACGCUGGCGGCGUGCCUAAUACAUGCAAGUCGAACGAACAGGUGAUGAUCUUGCGCCUCUGACGUUAGCGGCGCACGUGUGAGUAACACGUGUAUACCCUACCUGUAAUACGGGUAUAACUACGGGACACCGGAUCUAAUCCCAGAUGAUAUAUUGAAGCGCGUUGUGGAAUGGUGAGAUACGGUUUUUCUGGCACGUCUCGAUGGUUCUCGGCCGGAUGAGCUAGUUGUGAAGGUAACGGGCUAUCAAGGCAACGAUGCGUAGCCGACCUCAGAGGCUGGUAGGCCACACUGGAAGUGAGCCAGGGUCAAGACGCCUAAGGGAGGCAGCAGUCGGGAAUCGUACGCAAUGGGCGAAAGUAUGACGGAGCAACGGGGAGCGAGAGAUGACGGUCUCGGGAUCGUAAAACUCUGUUAUUAGGGAAGAACCAAUGUGUAAGUAAAUAUGCACGUAUUGACGGUAACUAAUAAGAAAGCACCGGCUAACUACGUG
rnacentral:rRNA from 1 species